UACAGUAUUAAAGUACAGUGUUAAAGUACAGUGUACAUUGACUCUCACCCUUCAGCUGUCUAAGAAGCAGGAGUUCCGCAGUGACACAAACCUGGCAGACGCCGGCAGCACUGCUCUGAGCAGCACUAACUCCAGAUCCCUGCCCACUAUCACGGGCUUGUCUCUGUCGGUGGCCAAUGGGGGGGAGGACGGGGAGACCGCCCGCUCUCGCCGGGACAGUAAGAGCGUGUCCAUCUGCAUUCCCACCGACCGCACGCCUGACCGCCGAUCCAAAGGGGUCAUCAACCUGCUCUUCAGAACCAAGCUGGGGUCCAAGUCCGAGGAUGCCAAAACACCGCCGGAGCCACCCGGAGAGAAAUCCUCCUCUCACUUCUGAUCCGUUUUCACCGACCUUUCACCCCCUUCCUGUCCGUCUCUCUCCCGCCCCGCCCCCACCCCCACCUCAGUCUUUACAGCCUCAUCAGCCCCACCCCCUCUGAUUUUCAUACUGUAGAACAGCGCUGCUCGACUCCACGUCCCGCGCUGGAGCGCCCGGUCGGAGGACAGACCGGCAGACGAGGCCCGCGGGGCGAGGGGUUGAGUCGCGCUGCUGUAGAACAAGCUUUUCUAGAUCAUUCUGAAGGCGCCGUUAAGUAUUUUGUAAUAGUUACAUAAUCCUGAUUAUUUUUCUUUUUUUUUGGCAGUUAAAUACCAUUAAAAGGUCCAUACCUGCAUUCAAUUGAUUAUUUUAUAAUCUGUCAUUGUUUGGAUGUAAAUGGUUUCUUAAAAAAACAGGACUUAAUUGAAAUUAAUUUGCCUAGCAAUAUUAACAUUUGCUUUGUGUGUUCAUAUCAGUGUCCAUGGCUGAUUUUGAAAAUGGCCAGAAUAAAUAAACCAUUGUUUUGUUA